rnacentral:pre_miRNA from 1 species
UGUGCAUCGGUGGGGUCCCUCGGCCUGGCCUGCGCCCUCUCGCAAUCCGGGACCCCUCAGGGGAUGUUGGACUGCCAGUUUUGGCCUGAUUCCUGCAGGCCAGGCCAAGGGACCCCACCGGUGCACA